rnacentral:snRNA from 1 species
GCUGCUCGCUUCGGCAGCACAUAUACUAAAAAUUGGAACGAUACAGAGAAUAUUAGCAUGGCCCCUGUGCAAGGAUGACACACAAAUUCGUGAAGCGUUCCAUAUUUUU